CACGUAGGGUGCGAGCGUUGUCCGGAAUUAUUGGGCGUAAAGAGCUCGUAGGCGGUGUGUCGCGUCGGCCGUGAAAACCUGCAGCUCAACUGUGGGCUUGCGGUCGAUACGGGCGGACUAGAGUUCGGUAGGGGAGACUGGAAUUCCUGGUGUAGCGGUGAAAUGCGCAGAUAUCAGGAGGAACACCGGUGGCGAAGGCGGGUCUCUGGGCCGAUGACUGACGCUGAGGAGCGAAAGCGUGGGGAGCGAACAGG
rnacentral:rRNA from 1 species